CCUGCCCCUAGAGGAAUUGCAGAUGUGCCUCCUAUGUCACAUGUGCAUUAGUAGGUGGCAAAGAGGAGAGAGGUUAUGUCUCUCUCUGUCCAGUGUUCUGACCUGUGAACAUCUGAAUGAUCAGUAGUGUACCAUU